rnacentral:rRNA from 1 species
AUACGGAGGGUGCAAGCGUUGUUCGGAAUCACUGGGCGUAAAGGGCGCGCAGGCGGUUUGGUAAGUCAGAUGUGAAAGCCCACGGCUCAACCGUGGAAGUGCAUUUGAAACUGUCAGACUUGAGUACUAGAGGGGAAAGUGGAAUUCCCGGUGUAGAGGUGAAAUUCGUAGAUAUCGGGAGGAAUACCGGUGGCGAAGGCGACUUUCUGGCUAGAUACUGACGCUGAGGCGCGAAAGCGUGGGGAGCAAACAGGAUUAGAUACCCUUGUAGUCC